rnacentral:RNase_P_RNA from 2 species
UCAGGGGGCCUGAGGCAGCCGCGUGCGAAAGCGCGAGGAAAGUCCGGGCUCCACGAAACAAGGGUGGCGGGUAACGCCCGCCGGCGUCCUUUCGGGGGCGCAAGGGAAAGUGCCACAGAGAGCAAACCGCCGAUGGCUCCUUCGGGCGCACAGGCAAGGGUGAAAGGGUGCGGUAAGAGCGCACCGGGGGGCCGGCAACGGCAACCGCAUGGCAAACCCCACCCGGAGCAAGGCCGAAUAGGGGUCUCGCGCCUUUCGCAAGAAGGGUAGGCGUGUUUCGCGCCGAGAGACCCGGGUUGGCUGCUAGAGCGUCGGAGCAAUCCGCCGCCCAGAUGAAUGGCUGCUACCGCGCGGCUGAUGCCUUCGGGCAGAUCGCGCGCGGAGACAGAACCCGGCUUAUGAUGGCCCCCUGAUGUU